CUGCUCACCUUCACAGCACAUAUACUAAAAUUGGAACAAUACAGAGAUUAGUGUGGCCCCUGCACAAGGAUGACACACAAAUUUAUGAAGCAUUUCAUAUUAAA
rnacentral:snRNA from 1 species